GUUUCCGGGAGCCCGGCGGACGCUGGGUCUGCAGAUGCCAUCCAGGCGCACGGCGGGUAUAGUGGUUCCGCAACCUUGGGAUGUUCGGCUGAGCGCCUGCCUAACAUGGGAGCGCCUGCCUAACCCUCCUGACUGGAGGGUCAGCGGCGGGGAGUCCUGGCCUUCAAUCGGCCAUCGCCACGGCAGAAACUGGGGCCCGGGCUGCGUCCAGGCCCUUCCCCGUCCGUCCACAGGUCUCAUGGGCGCCCGGACUGGGGCUGAUGUAGUUUCCCGACCUCUGACACAUAGGAUCUGGAGAUUAAAGCUGCUCUGCUAAUAAUUAGGUUCCCACCUCUCAAGAUCAUUAGGAGCUUCUUUUCCAAUUCCUCUGUUUUGCAUGCAUUGGAAGAUUCACAGGCUGCUCCCCAGAAUACUGAAGAAGAAACUCUAGGAGUGAGACCCAACAAUCUGUGUUUAACAAGUCCCCAGGCCCCUGGAUCCUCCUGGAAUCCCUGAUCCCUGUUGCUCCCUGGCGGAGUUUUCUAGUCCCUCUUACUUGAAGCAUGUCUUUCAGAGCCCGGCACCACCCAAGUUGGGUAUCUGCUACACCUCUAUGGUAUUUUUUUCACCUCAUAUCAUACCUUCCUCCCUCACUGGACUUCAGUGUGGGACCUGCAGGUCUCAGGCCUUCUGGGAAGUCCCAGCUUUUCUUGAAUGUUCUCUCUCUCUGGCCAGCUCAGGCUGGAGCAGUGGGUGUUGGUGCCAUCCUGUGGCUAUAGGUGAUAAGCCGGCUGUUCUUCACUGACCUGGUCUUACCUUGAACCCUGGAGUUCUCACAUGCAUGGAUUUAAAUGCUGUGUCUUUCUAAGGGCACAUUAUGGCCAUUUUCCUUAUCUCCCUCCCAAGGGGCUGUUUCCUGUAUUUAUUGACUCCCUGUUUAAAAAAAAUAUAUGUAUAUAUAGACAAAUUGGAUUGUACCCCAUAAACUGCAUGUUUUAAAAAUACUUCAAAGAAUAGUUUUUCAUUUUUUUCUUGCUGGUUUUUAUGUAUCUUCUAAAUUGUAUAUAUUUAUGGGGUAUAAAAUGAUGUUGUGAUUUUUCAAUACAGUGUGGAAUGAGAAUCAAAUUAACCUAUCCGUUACCUCAAGUACUUGACUUUUUUUGUGAUGAGAAGGCUGUUUAUCACUUUCACUCACCAG
rnacentral:lncRNA from 10 species